rnacentral:tRNA from 1 species
UCCCUGGUGGGCAAGUGGUUAGGAUUCCGCGCUUUCACUGCUAUGACCCAGGUUCAAUCCCUGGUCUGGGAA